ensembl:lncRNA
UUGGCAUAGAAGUUGACUUAGAUGUGACAUACCGUUAGCUAUGUUCACGUUACAUUGAGUAGAUUGAACCUUUAACAGCUCAUUAUUGUAUAUACGAAGACGGCGGAAGACAGGUCGUUGUUGUAAUCACAACGACGCUGUUUAAAAUCACACAAUGGCAUGCCUAGCGUCUAAAAGAAACACAAAAUAUAGGUCUACUGAAUAGCAACGUGUUUCCUUGCACAUAUUUAGUUAACUUUUGUUGUAGGUAGCUAACUUUAGCUUGGAAAACACCAGCUCACAGUAAAAGAAUAAAUGUCAUUAAGCAAGAUAACCCCGUUAAUCGUCAAAUAUACUGAGAAAUGCGCGUGACGGCAUUAGCAGCUGGUAACUAUUGUCAUUUAUAAUGUCGUUAAAGUUAGUUGUAUAUAACUAUCUAUCACAGAAAGUACAACAGGAAGCAGCUAAAUUAACCGCACAAAUAAUAGGACCGCAUCGGAUGCAUAGGUGGUUAGCUUAGCUUGCUAUCCACCUAACAUUGACGCCAGCUACUAUUGGUAAACCCUUCGAUCGGCAAAAAAAGAGGUCUUACAAAUCGCACAAAAUAUAUCUAUUAAAGUACGGUUUUGUUGCUUGCAUCGUAAGCAGAUACUGUAAGGAAAUCAUAACAUACCUUUUUUAUCGAGAAAAUGGAAUUGCAAACUGGGGUAUUUAUUCUUUAUUUAAUCGCUGUUGUUCCUGUUUUCGCGUCCUUUUCCCAGGAAGUCCUUUGAAAUUUGGCGCGCCAGAAGGGGCUUCCUUGCGCGAGAUUUACGCCACUUCCGUCUCUGAAUCGUUGACGUCCCGCGAAAGGAGGUCCCCGUGCUGCAUCUCCAACCAUGCUGAGCUGAGUGGAUAAAGUGACCGAUGACAUGUCUGGGGGAUGGCAUCAGAGAACAGAUAUCAUCUUGAUGGAUGGGCUUGAAAGUGCGUGAAAUGGAAGGACAAAGGCAGGAGACGAGCGAUCGAAACUACUGGGAAGGUUGCCAGGCCUGCUUCUUUCUCUCUUUUUCUUUUUGGUUCUCUCUCUCAUAUAUUGCAUGUCAUCCCUCGGAUAAAGACUAGAUGAUUAGACUACUGCUGCCUCUGGUCUUACACAGGUGACAAAGGAGCCUCCGCUGCAACUAUUCUCAGAGCUGUGGCUUCGUAGACAGAACAGGGUACACUACCGACCCAUUCAUUUUCUUUUGUGAGAAACAAUACAUUAUUGAUGAGAAUUCAGGUGCAGCUCAGGAAAGCUUGUGCAUUUCUGGGGAUCGGGAGAAGGGCGUGGCAUUGCCAUAUCCGCACUGCUUCUAAACCACUUCAUACAGGAUAUAUUUGUAGAUGUUAGGUAAUGAAUGUAUUGCUUUUAUUUUAUUUAUUUAUUUCAAAUAGGCUUGAUAUUGUCGAAAUGUUUGAUUCAAAUGGUUUUCGAUGUCUUAAUGUUUUUUUUUACGGGUUACAUGAAUGGUACAGUAAUUUGUACUGUUGUUAAGAUUUAUGUCUAUUGUGGUUAGGUAUCAUGAUUUAUUUGGUCAUCUCAAUUAAAGGGAAUGGAUUUUAUGCAGUUAUGUUGGGUAACCCCUGAUUUUUAAAAUGUAUUUUAGGUAUACUUUUUAAGGUAUUAUUUAUACAUAUUUAUACAAAACCUUCAAGUUUGUGACUGUUUGUCCAAGAGACUUGCAUGCACUACAGUCAUUCCAAACUAGCCGUUUGCUCUUGGCCAGCCGAGACGUCUCGGCUAAAUCUAAUUCAAACGCAUGCAUUGUGCAAAAACAUAUGUUUAACACUCAUGUGUUUCUCAAAAGUUAGGUGAGCUGGAAAAUCUAUUUUAGUUGUUCCUCCGGGUUAGCUUUUAGCUCAGACGUUAGGCCUCA